UACGGGGGGAGCAAGCGUUGUUCGGAUUUACUGGGCGUAAAGGGCGCGUAGGCGGCCACCGCAAGUCGACUGUGAAAUCUCCGGGCUUAACUCGGAAAGGUCAGCCGAUACUGCGGGGCUAGAGUGCAGAAGGGGCAACUGGAAUUCUCGGUGUAGCGGUGAAAUGCGUAGAUAUCGAGAGGAACACCUGCGGCGAAGGCGGGUUGCUGGGCUGACACUGACGCUGAUUGUGCGAAAGCUUGGGGAGCGAACGGG
rnacentral:rRNA from 1 species